GACGAACGCUGGCGGCGUGCCUAAUACAUGCAAGUAGAACGCUGAAGGAGGAGCUUGCUCUUCUGGAUGAGUUGCGAACGGGUGAGUAACGCGUAGGUAACCUGCCUGGUAGCGGGGGAUAACUAUUGGAAACGAUAGCUAAUACCGCAUAACAGUAGAUGUUGCAUGACAUUUACUUAAAAGGUGCAAUUGCAUCACUACCAGAUGGACCUGCGUUGUAUUAGCUAGUUGGUGGGGUAACGGCUCACCAAGGCGACGAUACAUAGCCGACCUGAGAGGGUGAUCGGCCACACUGGGACUGAGACACGGCCCAGACUCCUACGGGAGGCAGCAGUAGGGAAUCUUCGGCAAUGGACGGAAGUCUGACCGAGCAACGCCGCGUGAGUGAAGAAGGUUCUCGGAUCGUAAAGCUCUGUUGUAAGAGAAGAACGAGUGUGAGAGUGGAAAGUUCACACUGUGACGGUAUCUUACCAGAAAGGGACGGCUAACUACGUG
rnacentral:rRNA from 1 species